rnacentral:rRNA from 1 species
CCUACGGGUGGCAGCAGUGGGGAAUAUUGGACAAUGGGGGCAACCCUGAUCCAGCCAUGCCGCGUGUGUGAAGAAGGCCCUCGGGUUGUAAAGCACUUUCAGUGAGGAAGAACGCCUGGUGGUGAAUACCCAUCAGGAAAGACAUCACUCACAGAAGAAGCACCGGCUAACUCCGUGCCAGCAGCCGCGGUAAUACGGAGGGUGCGAGCGUUAAUCGGAAUUACUGGGCGUAAAGCGCGCGUAGGUGGCUUGAUAAGCCGGUUGUGAAAGCCCCGGGCUCAACCUGGGAACGGCAUCCGGAACUGUCAAGCUAGAGUGCAGGAGAGGAAGGUAGAAUUCCCGGUGUAGCGGUGAAAUGCGUAGAGAUCGGGAGGAAUACCAGUGGCGAAGGCGGCCUUCUGGACUGACACUGACACUGAGGUGCGAAAGCGUGGGUAGCAAACAGGAUUAGAUACCCGAGUAGUC